rnacentral:rRNA from 1 species
UACAGAGGUCUCAAGCGUUGUUCGGAUUCAUUGGGCGUAAAGGGUGCGUAGGCGGCUCAGUAAGUCGGGUGUGAAACCUCCAGGCUCAACCUGGAGACGCCACCCGAUACUGCUGUGGCUAGAGUCCAGUAGGGGAGUGUGGAAUUCCAGGUGUAGCGGUGAAAUGCGUAGAUAUCUGGAGGAACACAGGUGGCGAAGGCGGCAUCCUGGACCAACACUGACACUGAGGAGCGAAAGCCAGGGGAGCAAACGGG